rnacentral:rRNA from 1 species
GCAAGUCGAACGAGGUCCAUGGAGCUUGCUCCAGAAGACCUAGUGGCGAACGGGUGCGUAACACGUGAGAAACCUGCCCUGAACUUGGGAAUAACAGUUGGAAACGACUGCUAAUACCGAAUACCUUCACGACGUCGCAUGGCGAUGUGAAGAAAGCUUUAUGCGGUUUAGGAGGGUCUCGCGACCUAUCAGCUAGUUGGUGAGGUAAUGGCUCACCAAGGCGACGAUCCCUAGCUGGUCUGAGAGGAUGAUC